rnacentral:tRNA from 1 species
GUGGGUGUAGCUCAGUUUGGUAGAGCACUAGGUUGUGGCCCUGGUUGCCGCGGGUUCAAGUCCCGUCACUCACCCCA